rnacentral:lncRNA from 1 species
AAUAAUUUGCCAUCCGAUAAUAAAUAUUUAUAGAAAAAACUUCAAAUACCACUCAUGUGAUUUCACGCUUUCUCACUUUAAUACUAUAUUAUUUAAAAUGUAUCACUUUCACUUUCAUAUUCUGCAUUUUUAUUUUUCUCUUUUCUUUAUGCCCUCCAUUAAUUUUUUUUCGUUAAGUCAAUGACAAAGUUAAAAUCACAUAAUACUAAAGAGAAAAUUCGGUAAAACACAGGAUAGUAAAAGGGAAUAUUUGAUAAACCAUAGGUGGGAUAUCUGAAGUUUUUUUUUGUAUAUGAUUUAAUAAAGAGUUAACGGAGGUGCUGGCGAAAAGAGAAAAAUAAAACCAUAGAGUAUUAAGGUGAUACACUUUAAAUCAUAGGGUACUAAAAUGGAAAAGCACGAAAUUAUAAGGGUGGCAUUUGAGUUUU